AAAGCAGUCUUGUGUUGGGAGGGGCUGAUUUGAAGACUUGCAUGUUUCCAAGACCAUAGACAGAUUUUACACAAAUGACAAUAUGCGUGGUGGUGAAACUUGUGCAAAGAGGGUGCACAAGAAGACUGCUCUGAUAGCGCUGAGUAAUCCCAAGGUCUACAAUGGGUGGUGCCUAAUGUCCAUCGAGUUCA